UACGUAGGCAGCGAGCGUUGUCCGGAAUCAUUGGGCGUAAAGAGCGUGUAGGCGGCCCGGUAAGUCCGCUGUGAAAGUCCAGGGCUCAACCCUGGGAUGCCGGUGGAUACUGUCGGGCUCGAGUCCGGAAGAGGAGUGUGGAAUUCCUGGUGUAGCGGCGAAAUGCGCAGAUAUCAGGAGGAACACCAAUGGCGAAGGCAGCGCUCUGGGACGUGACUGACGCUGAGACGCGAAAGCGUGGGGAGCAAACAGG
rnacentral:rRNA from 1 species